UGUAUGUACCUUAUGAAUAAGCAUCGGCUAACUCCGUGCCAGCAGCCGCGGUAAUACGGAGGAUGCGAGCGUUAUCCGGAUUUAUUGGGUUUAAAGGGAGCGCAGACGGGUCGUUAAGUCAGCUGUGAAAGUUUGGGGCUCAACCUUAAAAUUGCAGUUGAUACUGGCGUCCUUGAGUGCGGUUGAGGUGUGCGGAAUUCGUGGUGUAGCGGUGAAAUGCUUAGAUAUCACGAAGAACUCCGAUUGCGAAGGCAGCACACUAAUCCGUAACUGACGUUCAUGCUCGAAAGUGUGGGUAUCAAACAGGAUUAGAUACCCUGGUAGUCCACACGGUAAACGAUGGAUACUCGCUGUUGGCGAUAUACUGUCAGCGGCUUAGCGAAAGCGUUAAGUAUCCCACCUGGGGAGUACGCCGGCAACGGUGCAACUCAAAU
rnacentral:rRNA from 1 species